GAGGCGUGGCCGAGUGGUUGAAGGCACUUGUCUUGAAAACAAGAGAGCCGCAAGGUUCCGUGGGUUCAAAUCCUACCGCCUCC
rnacentral:tRNA from 1 species